UACGUAGGGUGCGAGCGUUGUCCGGAAUUAUUGGGCGUAAAGAGCUUGUAGGCGGUUUGUCGCGUCUGCUGUGAAAUCUCAAGGCUCAACCUUGAGCUUGCAGUGGGUACGGGCAGACUAGAGUGUGGUAGGGGAGGCUGGAAUUCCUGGUGUAGCGGUGAAAUGCGCAGAUAUCAGGAAGAACACCCGUGGCGAAGGCGGCUCUCUGGGACGGUACUGACGCUGAGACGCGAAAGCGUGGGGAGCGAACAGG
rnacentral:rRNA from 1 species